rnacentral:rRNA from 1 species
GACGAACGCUGGCGGCGUGCCUAACACAUGCAAGUCGAACGGAAAGGCCCUGCUUUUGCGGGGUGCUCGAGUGGCGAACGGGUGAGUAACACGUGAGUAACCUGCCCUUGACUUUGGGAUAACUCCAGGAAACUGGGGCUAAUAUCGGAUAGGAGCUCCUGCUGCAUGGUGGGGGUUGGAAAGUUUCGGCGGUUGGGGAUGGACUCGCGGCUUAUCCGCUUGUUUGUGGAGUAGUGGCUUACCAAGGUUUUGACGGGUAGCCGGCCUGGGAGGGUGGCCGGCCACCUUGGGCCUGCGAGACGGCCCAGACUCCUACGGGAGGCAGCGGUCGGAAGUAUUGCACAAUAGGCGGGAGCCUGAUGCGGCAGCGCCGCGUGCGUGAUGACGGCCUUCGGGUUGUAAACCGCUUUCGCCUGUAACGAAGCGUGAGUGACGGUAAUGGGUAAAGAAGCACCGGCUAACUACGUG